CGGUGAUUGAGGGAACUCUGGACUAAUUGUGCAUUCAACGCUGAAGGGGAUCGAUGUGCUCUCCACCAACUCUCAGCAAUUGAAGUUGUUGACAUAGGCUUAGGGUCUUCCUCGGAUAUUCUCAUUGAGUUGCAUUUUUCACUUUGAGACUUGUAUUGCUUGUUCAAACUCUUUUGGCCUCUAAUCCACAGCUACUAAUUGAUUGAAGAACAAUGAAGACAAG